rnacentral:rRNA from 1 species
AGAUUGAACGCUGGCGGCAGGCCUAACACAUGCAAGUCGAGCGGCAGCACGGGUACUUGUACCUGGUGGCGAGCGGCGGACGGGUGAGUAAUGCCUAGGAAUCUGCCUGGUAGUGGGGGAUAACGCUCGGAAACGGACGCUAAUACCGCAUACGUCCUACGGGAGAAAGCAGGGGACCUUCGGGCCUUGCGCUAUCAGAUGAGCCUAGGUCGGAUUAGCUAGUUGGUGGGGUAAUGGCUCACCAAGGCGACGAUCCGUAACUGGUCUGAGAGGAU